rnacentral:rRNA from 1 species
CCUACGGGAGGCAGCAGUGAGGAAUAUUGGUCAAUGGACGAGAGUCUGAACCAGCCAAGUAGCGUGAAGGAUGACUGCCCUAUGGGUUGUAAACUUCUUUUAUAUGGGAAUAAAACGUUCCACGUGUGGGAUUUUGUAUGUACCAUAUGAAUAAGGAUCGGCUAACUCCGUGCCAGCAGCCGCGGUAAUACGGAGGAUCCGAGCGUUAUCCGGAUUUAUUGGGUUUAAAGGGAGCGUAGGUGGAUUGUUAAGUCAGUUGUGAAAGUUGGCGGCUCAACCGUAAAAUUGCAGUUGAAACUGGCAGUCUUGAGUACAGUAGAGGUGGGCGGAAUUCGUGGUGUAGCGGUGAAAUGCUUAGAUAUCACGAAGAACUCCGAUUGCGAAGGCAGUUCACUUGACUGCAACUGACACUGAGGCUCGAAAGUGUGGGUAUCAAACAGGAUUAGAUACCCGGGUAGUC